UACGUAGGGAGCAAGCGUUGUUCGGAUUUACUGGGCGUAAAGGGCGCGUAGGCGGCAGAUCAAGUCAGCUGUGAAAUCUCCGAGCUUAACUCGGAACUGUCAGCUGAUACUGUUUUGCUAGAGUGCGGAAGGGGCAAUCGGAAUUCUUGGUGUAGCGGUGAAAUGCGUAGAUAUCAGGAGGAACACCAAUGGCGAAGGCAGCUCGCUGGGACGGUACUGACGCUGAGACGCGAAAGCGUGGGGAGCAAACAGG
rnacentral:rRNA from 1 species